AUGAGAUUAAGCUUACAUGGCAAGACAACCCAGUUCUUCUUUAUUUCUACCCCAAAGUACCGUGUCUCUUCCCCCUUAUUUUCGUAACCUCCAUUUUUGCCUCUCAAGCUAAAGAAUCACUUCGAUCACACAAGAAUUUAUUCAAGAACACAUAUUGAGGUUCGAGUGGCAACAUAAAGUGAACAAGCAAGGACUUCUACUUCAUUAAGUAUAUCAGGUUAAGCUGUGAUGUGGUGCAGAUGGAAGCGAGCAGAGCAUAUUCUUUGAUGUAUAUGUAUAAAACAGGCUCAGGAUUCCAUGUCUUCAUACAUGUAAUCCACAUGAGUUAUUAUGCUGCAACACUUAGUAUAUUCUACUUUAUUGAUGUGUUGACAGAUUUUAAAUCAAUAGCUUUGAGAAUUAUGCCACUUGAAAGUUAGACAACUUGUCAUUGUGUAUUGUAAGUUGUCUACUCAUGAGUUUUAAAAGUGAUUGUUUAUGAUUACCAUAUUAUGGUAUUGUUUAAGCAGGAUAAUUAUUUUUAUUGAAACCUCUUUUAUUUUUCA